GCGGGAAGGGCAAGCGCCUUGGGGCCGGUAAGUGGCGCAUAAAGCUUUAACGUCGUUCCACUAUCCUGUGAAUCGCCUUCCUUUGCAAGAAUGGUGAUAGUGUUGUUUUUAAAACACUUGAGAAACACCAUGACUGCAACAAAAAAGUCAGCCACAAAACUUGAGCAGGGCGGCAAAGAAGGCAGCUACAGGGCGGUCCUUCAAAGCACGCUGCAGUGGCAGAGGAAACCAAAAUGCUACGCAAACUCGCGGCGGAGCCCCGCUGCAGUCUCUUGCACAGCUCCACACGGCAGCGCACCACCGAGGGAAAACUGUGAUCAAAAGGCACUACACGGCAAAACUUAGUUGCAGUCUCUUGUACAGCCCCACACGGCAGCGCACCACCGAGGGAAAACUGUAAUCAAAAGACACUACACGGCAAAACUUCGUUGCAGUCUCUUGUACAAGAACACCCACGUCCUGCUCACCCCGCCACUAACUGCAACCACGGGCAAAAGAACCUUUGUCAAAACAACAAGUACACCCAUAUUAUAUAUAUAUAUGGACACAUUACAUAUAUACGUAUGUGUGUACGUGUGCACGGCUGGUGUGAUGAGACAAAUCAGCAAUCUUCAUAUAUGUGCGCGUGCGGUGAUGGAACAAAAGCAAGGUCAGUGUGUGAACGUGUGUGUGUAUAUAUACACAUGACAAAGCCAUGCAAACAAAGUCUGUGUGUAUGUAUGUAUGUAUGUGAAAUGAAAGUCAAAGUUUUCUGUGUGUGUGUAUAAGGCACAGCAACGAAAUCCCAUAUAUAAAACAUAUAUGCGUACACAGUGAUAAUGACGGGACAAAUCAAUUUCCACAUACAUGUACAUGUGUGCACGGUAUCAAUCACAACCAACUUCCAUAUAUAUGUAUGCAUGCAGAAUGAUGGGACAGCCGCCAGCCAACUUAUAUAUAUAUAUAUAUAUAUAUAUAUAUAUAUAUAUAUAUAUAUAUAUAUAUAUACAUGCAAAGCGACAGGACACUCAACAUAUAUAUAUAUAUAUAUAUAUAUAUAUAUAUAUAUAUAUAUAUAUAUAUAUAUAUAUAUAUAUAUAUAUAUAUGUACGUACAACAUGUCAAAAGCAUCUCAGGGUUAUAUAAAUAUAUAUAUAUAUAUAUAUAUAUAUAUAUAUAUAUUAUAUAUAUAUAUAUAUAAGUGUAAGUAUGUGCGGCAUCCAAGAUGAGACAACUAAUCUCAAGGUUGUGUAUAUAUAUAUAAAUAAGUGUAAGUGUGUGCGGCUCCAGGCUAUAUAUAUAAAGGCUUGCUGUGUGCGGUUCCAGGACAUAUAAUAUAUAUAAACGCCUGCUGCGUGCGGCUCUGGGACAUAUAUAUAUAUAUAUAUAUGCAUGGUGAUGGGUUAUACAUAUAAACGGGACUCACGAAGUAAAAGCUGCAUCCUGCUAGCCGACUGCCUUCUUCUUCCCGUCUGCAGCACUGGUCAUCCCCUCCUCAACGCUUUGCACACCUUAAGCUCCAGCACCGAGAGACUCCCCUUGUCAAGCUCACUUCUGCAGCCUCAGACCACCGUCUCUGUCCAUCAAUGCGAAGCCAACCCGAACCCGUCGUUCGCCGUCAGGAUCCUCUCUGCUGCAUUUCCUUCCAGCACCGAGCUCAGUAGCAGCAAACGAGGAUCCUCCAGGAACAAUAGGCGCACUGUUAGUAGCAUGAGCAACAGAGGAUGCUACAUAAGAAAGCCCAGUCGACGAAGAUGUAGAGCUGAAAGAGGUAGCAAAUACAGAGACUUACCAGCUAGCAGACGCGGGGAACGCAGGAAGCAGUGCACGCAGUCGUGAUCGCAGCCAGGUAGUAGCUGUGUGGUGAAUGUGCAGUGCCCUAUGUGUGUAUGUGUGUGCGUAUGCCUAUGUAUAUAUAUACAACGAUCUCAACGGUUGCAAAAGAAACGGAUCCGCAUACGAUGCAGUGACUGUGUAAACAGCAAUCCGCAUGCAGUGAAGAAUGCAGUACAAUAGCUGUCGCAAACAAUGACCCGCGUGAAGAGAGGAGUGCAGAGAAUAAUGCAGUACAGUAGCUGUGCAAACAGUGAUCUGCGUGAAGAGAGGAGUGCAGAGAAUAAUGCAGUACGGUGACUGUCGCAAACAGUGAUCCGCGUGAAGAGAUGAACGCAGAGAAGAAUGUAGUAUAGUAGCUGUUCAAACAGUGAUCCGUGUGCAGAGAAGAACACAUGAAAAAAAAAAAAAAAAAAAAAAAAAAAAAAAAAAAAAAAAAAUGGUGCAGUGACUGUGCAAAUAAAAAUGGUACAGAGAAGAAUACGAUGCAGCAAGGAAGACCCGUGCUCUCCACUUCGCUUCCCCUUUGAAGAAUC
rnacentral:lncRNA from 1 species